rnacentral:rRNA from 1 species
CCUUCCCUCUUUCUUUAUGCCUAAUACAUGCAAGUCGAACGGCCACACAAUAAGAGCGUGCUCUUACGGUUAGCGGGUGACGGACGGGUGAGGAAUGGAUCAGAAUCUUCUUUUACGGGGGGAAUAUCGUAAGGCAACUGAUGCUAAUACCUCACACGACCUACGGCUGAAUGCAAGAGUGCUUCGCACCUUUCCCGAUUCAUUGAGCCGGAGUCGGAUUAGCUAGUUGGGUGGGUAAAGGCACACCAAAGCGACGAUACGUAGCUGGUCUGAGAGGAUGAUCAGCCACACUGGAACUGAGACACGGUCCAGACUCCUACGGGAGGCAGCAGUGGGGAAUCUUGGACAAUGGGCGCAAGCCUGACGCAGCCAUGCCGCGUGAGUGAAGAAGGUCUUCGGAUUGUAAAGCCCUUUUGUUGGGAAAGAAAAACAGCAUGUGAAACUACCGCUGUUCUGACGGUACCCAAAGAGUAAGCACCGGCUAACUUCGUG